rnacentral:tRNA from 1 species
CCCUUGGUGGUGUAGUUGGUUAUCGCGUUCGGCUGUAAACCGAAAUGUCGCCGGUUCGAUUCCGGCCCGAGGGA